UUCUAGGCCAGGAUGGAGAAGUGAAAAGUUUUACAGAGGUCAUGGGUGAAGCUCUGAAAUUUCACAAACCAGGUGAGAAUUACAAGACUGCUGGUUAUGUUAUCACAGACCAAACUAUGGAGUUGAUGAAGGAACAUUUAAAAGCAACUGGUGGUAAGGUGUACUCCAGAUUUCCC